rnacentral:rRNA from 1 species
AUGGCUACGAAAAACUCUGCUGUCUUCCUCCUCGGGCUUCUCUCUUGCGUUGCCAUGAGCAGCGCGGCGAGAAUUCUAGAAGAGACCAUUUCUAAGGAGGAGCACCAGCCCGAGGUGCCAUCGCUUCCCAAAGUAGAACUGCCACCGUUCCCGGAAGUGCAUCUGCCACCUAAGCCUGAGCUUCCCAAGGUGGAGCUGCCGCCGCUCCCGGAGGUGCACUUGCCAUCUAAGCCUGAGUUGCCCAAGGUGGAGCUGCCACUUAAGCCGGAGCUGCCCAAGGUGGAGCUGCCAACGUUCCCGGAGGUUCACCUGCCACCCAAGCCGAAGCUGCCCAAGAUGGAGCUGUCAACGUUCCCAGAGGUUCACCUGCCACCCAAGCCGGAGAUGCCCACUGUUCCCGGGUUCCACCUCCCGGAGCCGGAGGCCAAGCCAUGA